GGAGUUUGGGCCGUGUCUCAGUCCCAAUGUGGCCGAUCACUCUCUCAAGUCGGCUACUGAUCGUUGCCUUGGUAGGCCGUUACCCUGCCAACUAGCUAAUCAGACGCGGGUCCAUCCUGUACCACCGGAGUUUUUCACACUGUACCAUGCGGUACUGUGCGCUUAUGCGGUAUUAGCAGUCAUUUCUAACUGUUAUCCCCCUGUACAGGGCAGGUUACCCACGCGUUACUCACCCGUGCGCCGGUCGCCAUCACAGAUAGCAAGCUACCUGCAUGCUGCCCCUCGACUUGCAUGUGUUAAGCCUGUAGCUAGCGUUCAUC
rnacentral:rRNA from 1 species